rnacentral:rRNA from 1 species
GUACAAAGGUAGCAUAAUAAUUUGUUUUUUAAUUAAAAACUNGAANGAAAGAUUUGANGAAAUNUAAACNGUUUCAAUAAAAUUAAUAUAUUAAAUUUUUUAUUUAAGUAAAAAAACUUAAAUAAUAUUUAAAGACGAUAAGACCCUAUAGAAUUUUAUUUAUUUUAUUUUUUUUUAAAAAUAAAAUAAAUUUUANGGGGGUAAUAAAAAAAUUUAAAAAAUUUUUUUUUAAUAUAACAUUAUAAUUGAAUAUUUAAUCUAAUAUUAUUAAUUAAAAAAAUUAAUUACCUUAGGGANAACAGCAUAAUUUUUUUUANAAGAUCUUAUUAAUAAAAAAGAU